GGAUUGUGGCUCAGCGGUAGAGCACUCACCUAGCAUGUGUGAGGCCCUGGGUUCCAUCCUCAGCACCA
rnacentral:tRNA from 1 species